GGGGGAAUAUUGCACAAUGGGGGCAACCCUGAUGCAGCCAUGCCGCGUGUGUGAAGAAGGCCUUCGGGUUGUAAAGCACUUUCAGUCGUGAGGAAAGGUUAAUGGUUAAUACCCAUUAGCUAUGACGUUAGCGACAGAAGAAGGACCGGCUAACUCCGUG
rnacentral:rRNA from 1 species